rnacentral:lncRNA from 1 species
AUUCAUAUGAAGAUCCUAGUGAUACACCUCAAGUUUCUUAACAUAUUUUUAGAUUAGUGAAGUAAUCAACACAUAAUCACCAAAUGUUUCAAGAACACACACAUAAUCAUGCAUAUAUACAUAGAUCUACACAUAAGACUUGUAUUAUCCCCCCAAAAACAAGUAAAAAACAGAAAACAAGGGGGUAUGAACUCACCUUGUUUGAAGAUUUCGGAUUUAUCCCCCCAAAAACAAGUAAAAAACAGAAAACAAGGGGGUAUGAACUCACCUUGUUUGAAGAUUUCGGAUUUUGAUGAAG